CAGCCGCCGCGGUAAUACGAAGGGGGCUAGCGUUGUUCGGAUUUACUGGGCGUAAAGCGCACGUAGGCGGAUCCUUAAGUCAGAGGUGAAAUCCCAAGGCUCAACCUUGGAACUGCCUUUGAUACUGGGGAUCUCGAGUCCGGGAGAGGUGAGUGGAACUGCGAGUGUAGAGGUGAAAUUCGUAGAUAUUCGCAAGAACACCAGUGGCGAAGGCGGCUCACUGGCCCGGAACUGACGCUGAGGUGCGAAAGCGUGGGGAGCAAACAGGAUUAGAUACCCCAGUAGUCCCUGUCUCUUAUAC
rnacentral:rRNA from 1 species